rnacentral:rRNA from 1 species
UACGGGGGGGGCAAGCGUUGUUCGGAAUUACUGGGCGUAAAGGGCUCGUAGGCGGCCAACUAAGUCAGACGUGAAAUCCCCAGGCUUAACCUGGGAACUGCAUCUGAUACUGGAUGGCUUGAGUUCGGGAGAGGGAUGCGGAAUUCCAGGUGUAGCGGUGAAAUGCGUAGAUAUCUGGAGGAACACCGGUGGCGAAGGCGGCAUCCUGGACCGACACUGACGCUGAGGAGCGAAAGCCAGGGGAGCAAACGGG